GCGGGCGUGGCGGAAUUGGUAGACGCACCAGAUUUAGGUUCUGGCGGGCAACCGUGGGGGUUCGAGUCCCUCCGCCCGCACCA
rnacentral:tRNA from 2 species